GCAAAUGAGAGUUCAUCGUAAACACAGCAAACCAAAUCAAGAAAACAAAGCAAAUAUGGUUAUUCAUUUCAAAUGGUGGAAUCAGAAUAUCAAUAAGCAAAAACUGGUACAUGGUUUGAUUCACGUUUGAGUUAUAUGUUCCUCAUUUUCCACUAUUCCAUCAAACCAAAACAAACAAUAAAAACUCAAACAAAACUUUUGAAAAGCGGCGAAGUCAGAGAUGUUAAAUAUGCCUCAAACAGUUUUAAGCUCAUAAUGAGGAAAUUACCCCUCAUUCGCACAUCUAAUUGGUUCAUCAUUCUCGCCGUUUCAUUGCAAAACCAAUAAAAACAAUGUAUCCUACCCGAUUAUAUAGAACGAGAUACUAAAUGAACGAAAUUAAAAUCUGAAAAUCCUCAAACGCAAAGAUCUCUAGCAGAUAAAAGAGAUAAACACUUAUAUCUGAAGAGUCAGCGAGAGAGGACCUUAAUUCCAGAUCUAAUGCCGAUAUAAAAAAACUCGACCUAUAAUAAAUCAGGAAGGUAAAAACUGGGUUAGUUCUUAGGAGAACCCUAAUCAAAAACCCUUAAUAAAUUUCGAUUUAGCGCAGCAAUGACUCGACACGCUUCCAUUAAGCAUUUGUGGAAGGCGAUCUUAAGGGCUGCGCAACGAUUUAAAAAAAAAACGAUAAAUACGAAUAACACGAUUUAGAACAUAAGCCCUAAUAUCUAAGAAUU
rnacentral:sRNA from 1 species